AAGAAGGAAGUCACUGUUUGAUGUAAACUAAAAAUGAAGUCUAAGCUCCCUACUAGCUGAAAAUGGACCCCCU
rnacentral:sRNA from 1 species